ACGCCUAACACAUGCAAGUCGAACGAAGUAGCAAUACUUAGUGGCAGACGGGUGAGUAACAUGUAGGUAUCUGCCCUUUGGCCUGGAAUAACACGAGGAAACUUGUGCUAAUACCGGAUAAGUCUUUACGGAGAAAGCUUUAUGCACCAUUGGAUGAGCCUGCACUUGAUUAGUUUGUUGGUGGGGUAAUGGCCUACCAAGACUGUGAUCAAUAGCUGAUUUGAGAGGAUGAUCAGCCACAUUGGGACUGAGACACGGCCCAAACUCCUACGGGAGGCAGCAGUGGGGAAUCUUGCACAAUGGAGGAAACUCUGAUGCAGCGAUGCCGCGUGAGUGAAGAAGGCCCUUGGGUUGUAAAGCUCUUUCGUCGGGGAAGAA
rnacentral:rRNA from 1 species